GCGUGGGCGGCCAUCGGCCUCGGCCGGCGCUCUGAGCUGCACAACACAAACACUGGCGCCUUUGGUCUCAUGUGUUAGAACCAUCUUUUGUCUCCUCAGCGCCAGUUGCAGUGAGCAGGAAAAGGCUCCUGUUCAAACACGCUGAAAGACGCAGCGUUUGUCUUCCCUCUGAGAUCCAGAUCCCAGGGAAGGCCCGGACAACUUGCACAACUUCCUGCUCAGCGUCAACCAGGCGGCCGAGCCGCUUGGCGUCGGCACCGCGGCUGCAGGCGCUCGGAGGUAACACAGAAGUCAGCUUGAGUUAUCGGAGUUUCGAGGCGAUCAGAGGCCGGUCACAGAGCAUGCGGCUGCAAUAAAAGUGGAACCGUUUCACCUCCGAUAUAAACUGAAGUUACCACCAGUUGUAAACGGGCUCCAACCAGGACGUCCACACGCCCACGGGAGAGAGAGAGAGAGAGAGAGAUGACCCGACCCGCAGGAUCGACGCGACACUGAACCCAAGCGCUGCUUUACAGGAAGAGCCCCGCAGUGUCCUCUUCGACAUUCUGCUGCAUCGGAGGGUAAUAGUGUUAGCGUAUACGAGACAUCUGUUAUUGGAAACAGCCCUGACAAGAUCUACAAUAAACAUGCCAGAGGUUUUACAACCCCCUCCCAUGUCCAGCUGCAGCAUUCUGUGGAGUCCAGACAUCUUUAGAGGCGGAUAGCGGGACAGAGGAUGCAGCCGUGACUCUGGAGGACCAGCGACCGCAGCGAGCAGGUGUUCCUCCUCACGCUGAGCCGCUGCCAACUCUCCCAGGAUGAAUUAGCACUGUGGUUUUUUGUAAUAAAGAAAGAACUGCGUGAAGA